UGGGGAAUUUGGACAAUGGGCGAAAGCCUGAUCCAGCAAUGCCGCGUGUGUGAAGAAGGCCUUCGGGUUGUAAAGCACUUUUGUCCGGAAAGAAAUCCUUGGCUCUAAUACAGUCGGGGGAUGACGGUACCGGAAGAAUAAGCACCGGCUAACUACGUGCCAGCAGCCGCGGUAAUACGUAGGGUGCAAGCGUUAAUCGGAAUUACUGGGCGUAAAGCGUGCGCAGGCGGUUUGCUAAGACCGAUGUGAAAUCCCCGGGCUCAACCUGGGAACUGCAUUGGUGACUGGCAGGCUAGAGUAUGGCAGAGGGGGGUAGAAUUCCACGUGUAGCAGUGAAAUGCGUAGAGAUGUGGAGGAAUACCGAUGGCGAAGGCAGCCCCCUGGGCCAAUACUGACGCUCAUGCACGAAAGCGUGGGGAGCAAACAGGAUUAGAUACCCUGGUAGUCCACGCCCUAAACGAUGUCAACUAGUUGUUGGGGGAUUCAUUUCCUUAGUAACGUAGCUAACGCGUGAAGUUGACCGCCUGGGGAGUACGGUCGCAAGAUUAAAACUCAAAGGAAUUGACGGGGU
rnacentral:rRNA from 1 species